rnacentral:rRNA from 1 species
UACGUAGGUGGCAAGCGUUGUCCGGAUUUAUUGGGUUUAAAGGGUGCGUAGGCGGUCAUGUAAGUCAGUGCUGAAAUAUCCCGGCUUAACCGGGAGGGUGGCAUUGAUACUGUAUGACUUGAGUAAAGUUGAGGUUGGCGGAAUUGACGGUGUAGCGGUGAAAUGCUUAGAUAUCGUCAAGAACACCUAUUGCGAAGGCAGCUAACUAAGCUUUAACUGACGCUGAGGCACGAAAGCGUGGGGAUCAAACAGG